AAGACAUGGAGGUGCAGGUCUGAAUGUGUUUCUGCAGAAAUUAAGAGAAAGCUGGCAAUAGUAACGCCAUGUUACAAGCCUUAAAGACAUUAAAGUCAUUAUGGUUCCUGAAAAUGGCAAUGAAA